UUUUGGGGAGCCAACCGCGCCGUCUGUCCCUGGCAAGCCAGCGGCGGUUUAAAGGAGGUGGCGGGAAGCCUGUGUGUGCUUCAAAUCGUCACCCUCAUGGUCGCUCCGGAACUCUAAGUCUAGCAGAGAAGAUGAGGCGGUAGAAGUUCAUCAGUCAGUGCCCGAAGAGAGGUCCUAAUGGGAAUUCGAAGAAAGGAGUUAAUCAAGGAAGUGUAUUUUUUUGUUGUUGUUUGAGAUGGCGCCCACCUGUAAUCCCAGCUACUUGGG
rnacentral:lncRNA from 10 species